UACAGAGGUCGUCAAGCGUUGUCCGGAUUUAUUGGGCGUAAAGAGCUCGUAGGCGGUUUCCGUAAGUCGUGAAGUCAAAUCUCUGGGCUCAACCCAGAAUCGCUUUCCGAUACUGCGGUGACUGGAGUCCGGGUAGGGGAGUGUGGAAUUCCUGGGUGUAGCGGUGAAAUGCGCAGAUAUCAGGAGGAACACCAACAGCGAAGGCAGCACUCUGGGCCGGUACUGACGUGAGGAGCGAAAGCAUGGGGAGCGAACAGG
rnacentral:rRNA from 1 species